rnacentral:rRNA from 1 species
GGGAAGAGUAUAGUCGCAAGGCUGAAACGCAAAGGAAUUGACGGAAGGGCACCACCAGAAGUGGAGUUUGCGGUUUAAUUCGACUCAACACGGGGAACCUUACCAGGGCACAAUAUAGGCAGGAUUGACAGUCUAGAGAACUUUCUUGAUUCUAUAUAUGGUGGCGCAUGGCCGCUGUUAGUCCGUGGAGCGAUCUGUCCUGGUUAACUCCGGUAACGGACGAGACCUCAUCCUGUAACCAGUCACCUCUGGCUCCAGAGGGGGACUUCUUUAAGGGACUUCAGGCGGAAGCCUGAGGAAGCUUGAGGCUAUAGCAGGUCAGUAUGCCCUUAGACGCCCUGGGCCGCACGUGCACUACAUUGGCACAGACAACAAGUUCCUCGGCUGACAAGCCCAGGUAACCAUCAAACUGUGCCGUAGUUGGGAUUGACCUUUGCAACUGUGGGUCAUGAACAAGGAAUUUCUUGUAAACGCAAGUCAUCAACUUGCAUUGAAUACGUCACUGUCCUUUGUACACACCGCCCGUCGGUCUUGCUGAUGAUUGACUUAGACGAAAUUCACGGACCAGCCCCUUGAGGUCGGAAAGUGAAGUGAGUCUUGUUAGUUAAAAGCUAGAAUUGCCGUAACAAGGUUUCUGUAGGUGAACCUGCAGAAGGAUCAUU